ensembl:lincRNA
GGAGAUUUUGAGACUGAAAGUAAAUUAUUGCUUUUUAAUUUAGGAAGAUUCCUCCAAGUAUAUUAAGCUGACUAGAUUGUAGUGAGAGGAGACUGGAGGUUGGGAAACCACUUAGGUUUUCAUGGAAAUCAGGAUCUGUGCAUGCGUCAUAAGCCUGGUGCUCCUCUGUUUGUCACUCCUUCUCCCUCCGAGGCAAAUGUUCCCUGGUCUGAUGGGUACCGGCUGCAUCACACAGAUUCCUUCUUUGGUCUUUGCAUGUGUUAUUGUGAAAUCAGCUAGUUUUCAGAGGAGAUUCGCUCUGUUGACUAAGAGAAAUGUGGCUAAAGAAACAUAAUAAUCAGGCUGCUAGAUGCUUUUAUUGGUUGUGACCUUUCUACUCAACCCUGGAAAUGUGUUGUACUCAACCCUGGAAAUGUGUUGUUUUUGGUGUUAAAAAUAAAUCAUGAAUCUCAAAUUUCUUUCAUUUGGCCUCUGAAUUGGCACAUAGAUGUAUACUUUGUAAGAGGUUUCAGAAAUUAAAAAAAUAGUGUGUUUGGAUUUUUCAGGCAGUUAAGGAAAUAUUAUAUUCUGAUUGAAAGAUGAGUCAAACUGUAUGGGGGAGAGCACGUUUUUUACCACAGCAGCAAAUAACAUCAAUUUUACCGUUGUUUCCUAGCAACUAUUCAAGGCCACUGGUUUCAACACACACCUAACACACUGCAAUCUGAUCCAAGCAUCUGUCAAGAAAACCUUUAGAAAUGAAUUCUGUUGCAUGACAGAGCCCUGCUCAGUUUCCAAAGAAUCCUUUUUUCCUCUCCUAAGACAUACAUUUGAAAUUCAUCUUGAUCACUUCCCUCCCCUUGGCACCAAGAAUACCACUUAGAUUCAGAUAAUUAGUUUUACUUAAUUUAGGCAUUUCUGUCAUCUUGUGCCAUCUUAAGGAUCUUGGCUGCCUCUCUAACUCUAGGGUAUUGGCUACCUUGACAGCCUGGUAGUGGUUGGGCCCCCACAGCAGAAGUAUGGCAAGAACCUUUUCCUCCCUCUGUCCUUCCAUCCCUUUCUAGCAGGGGGAGCCACUGACAGGUGAGCCCCAGUGCAGGCUGGGACACCGAGCACCUGGGAAUGACAUUGGGAGGAAGUCUCCACCUUUGCACUUGUGUAGAUGCCAAUGGCACCAUUGAUUUUCUUUGAAUCUCUUCUCUCUUAUUGUUUACUUUGAGUUAAAAUUUUUUUUUCAUCUGAGAGAGGUAUAAAUAAUAGGAAGUAAACUGUGACCACUAGCAAAAUGUCAUCACCUGGCUCUGCUUCCAUGUGGGUUAGAGGAAGACACUAUAAAGGUAGUCUGUGAACUUAAAAGAAAAAUGCCUUGAUUUUUAUGGAAUUCAGAUGUUCAGCUUGAUGGGGAUUGGGGUAGAGGUAGGACGUAUCACUCCCCCCACCAUCUCUUCAGAGCUUCUUGACUUUGUUCUGAAUGUGGUAGAAAACUAUUGCUGGUCUCAAAGCUGUGCAAAUUCCUCUUUCUCAUGGUGGCAUCUAGCUCCACACGUCUGCUUCUCCUGAACUGGACCAGGGUUUAAAUUGUUUUACUAUCUGUCAAGUGCUUUUUUUUUUUUUUCUGAGCUGUUGACAACCCUGACAUGGAAUUUAGCCACUUCCUUUGGUUCAUACACAGGCACACGCAUAUGCACACAGGCACACGCACAAAUACACAUUCAACCACUAGGACAAGGCACGUGAGCAUCUUACAGACUCAACAUGUUUGAAAAAAUGGAGUGGAAAUCAACUUCAGAGCGGCAGAGCUCACAUUUAGUAUAGGACAUACAGAUUAAUGGUUCCCCAGAGAGACAGAACGAUGGUAAUUGGAUAGGGGUGUGUGUGUGUGUCUGUGUGUGUGUGUGUGUGUGUGUUUGUCGGGGGAGGGAAGAGGAAAGGAGAGAGAUAAUUAUUUUAAGGAAUUGGACUUCAUGGGUAUGGAAGCUAGCAAGUCCAAAAUGUACAGUUCAAGUCUGAAGACCUUCCAGUUGGAGACCUAGUGAAGCCAAAGCUUCAGUUCAAGUCUGAAUUACCUCUUUCUCAAGAGGAGGGCAAGUGGAAGGCCCAGGCAAGUCUGUCCCCUAGGCCGGAAGCAAAUCUUAUUGAGGGGGGUGGAAAAUAGCCCUGGCGAUAGGCACUGGCCACCGCACAGGUGGCACCUGGGCACACAGGACUGAGGAGAGUAGCAGGGGUAGUGACAGCAGCAGUGGCAGCAGCAAGAUGUUACUGUCAGGAGCAUAGGUGGUCAGAGAGCUUCAAAUCACACUGAAGGACAAGAUGGCCUUAGACUCAGCACUUGCCAGGCUCUGCAAAGUGUAAGUAAAAUCGAAGACGCCACUGCUACCCUGAUGUGAGCACAGACACCCCAGCCCAUGGAUGGAGCCGGACAGCAGGGACCGAGCUGGACCACAGGCCCUUCUUCCCCUGAGGCUGUUGGCAACGACAGAUGUUGCCUGUGCUUGUAAAUUAUGUCCUAAAAACUGCUCUUGUCCUCUUUUUUUUCCUUUUUAUUAAAGUAGGAUACAUUGAUUCUGAAGCAUGGAAGGAAGGAAAGGAGGAAGCAAGGGAGGGAAAAAGCUAAGCAAAAAGCAGGGGGACUUAUUGUGAAAGUGGGAGAAAGGCUCAGUAUCAUUUUUGUGAUUUCUCUGAAUCUACUCAUAAAAAAGGAGAAUCCUAUAAAUUAACUCUGUAGAAAUCACCCCUGUUAAUAUCGCAGUACACAUUUUUGGCAAUUAAUUUGUUGUACCUUAACAAAGCACAGUAAAAUGUAUGAGCUAAGUACAGAGAAGCAGAAAGGUCUCCACAAUUCUGUAUGAAGCCACAGCUCUGGACGGAGAGGAUUCCAUAUGGCUUCAGAGUGAAGGUUCUGUUACCCGCAAACAGACCAGCAGCGCAGUACAGAAUUCCAGCCGAACAGCUCUGAUUUUGGGUUAUACCCUCCUUGGUUUCCCCAGAGUAUCCCUACCUCGAGGGCUUCAGAAGCUUGCUAGUAGGUAGCAAACAGUCCUAUGCAGAAGUGGCUGGUAAUCUCAGUGAAGCAGGAGAUGGGGACCAGAUAUAGAAAGAGUUUGGGGAGAGGGGGGCGCCUAGACUAAAGACCCCAUAUUAUCUGCGGCUUUCAUUACUCACAUCUGAAGCCAGAAGGUCCUUGAACGGCCUGCCCGAAAGUCCCCUUCCCAUUCUUCUCCCGUGGAUAAAGUCUCACGGGCCAAACACCCUCCUCACGUCGGGAGCACACAGUGCCUCUGGCGACCCUUCAGACACAGCAAACCCGUCCUCCCAGGGGAGCCCGCGAAGUCCGCCUCAGCCCCUGUGCCCCAUCUCAGCCCUCGCUCAAGCUCUGAGUCCAUCCGACCACCCCGGGGCGGGGCUCUCUGCGCCCCCAG